AGCGAACGCUGGCGGUAGGCCUAACACAUGCAAGUCGAACGAAGCCUUCGGGCUUAGUGGCGGACGGGUGAGUAACACGUGGGAACGUACCUUUUGGUUCGGAACAACUCAGGGAAACUUGAGCUAAUACCGGAUGAGCCCUUAGGGGGAAAGAUUUAUCGCCGAAAGAGCGGCCCGCGUUAGAUUAGCUAGUUGGUGAGGUAAAGGCUCACCAAGGCUACGAUCUAUAGCUGGUCUGAGAGGAUGAUCAGCCACACUGGGACUGAGACACGGCCCAGACUCCUACGGGAGGCAGCAGUGGGGAAUCUUGCGCAAUGGGCGAAAGCUUGACGCAGCCAUGCCGCGUGAAUGAUGAAGGUCUUAGGAUUGUAAAAUUCUUUUACCAGGGACGAUAAUGACGGUACCUGGAGAAAAAGCCCCGGCUAACUUCGUGCCAGCCGCCGCCGUAAGAC
rnacentral:rRNA from 1 species